GUUGCGGUUACACAAAAGAAAUUAAGAAAAUUUUUAUUCAUAUUAAUUAUAUAGAUUAAAUUGAAAUAAAAUUAUAGAUUUAAGGUAAAAUUUUAUUUGUAAGUAUUUUUCUACUUAGAUUAAAUUAAGAAGCUUAAGCUUAUAAAUCAGGAUUAGAUACCCUGUUAUUCAGUGUUUAAAUGUGUUGGAGUAGUAAAAGUUACGUUCUUUAAACUCAAAAAAUUUGGCGGUAUUUUAUCUUAUUAGAGGAACCUGUUUAAUAAUUGAUAUUCCACAACUAAAAUUUACUUUAAUUAUAAUAUUUGUAUACCGCUGUCAUGAAUCUAUUUAGAAAUGUAAUUUUCUAUUGUUUUUAUGUAAGUCAUGUUAGGUCAAGGUGCAGUUUAUUAAAGUUACUAAUGGGUUACUUUAUUAAUAUGAAUGGAGGAAAUUAAGGUGAAAUUUUUUAGAAAAAGGAUUUAAUAGUAAAUAAAUUAAAGAAAUUACAUGAAU
rnacentral:rRNA from 1 species